AAAAAAUAAAGCAGUAUAUAACUAAAUGGUGCUUAGAUAUUUCCUUUUUUAAGCAAUUGUCAAAAUGUAUCACUGUAUGCUUUCCUAAUAAAA